rnacentral:rRNA from 1 species
AGUGAACGCUGGCGGUAGGCCUAACACAUGCAAGUCGAACGGCAGCACAGUAAGAGCUUGCUCUUACGGGUGGCGAGUGGCGGACGGGUGAGGAAUACAUCGGAAUCUACUUUUUCGUGGGGGAUAACGUAGGGAAACUUACGCUAAUACCGCAUACGACCUACGGGUGAGAGCAAGGGAUCUUCGGACCUUGCGCGAUUGAAUGAGCCGAUGUCGGAUUAGCUAGUUGGCGGGGUAAAGGCCCACCAAGGCGACGAUCCGUAGCUGGUCUGAGAGGAUGAUCAGCCACACUGGAACUGAGACACGGUCCAGACUCCUACGGGAGGCAGCAGUGGGGAAUAUUGGACAAUGGGCGCAAGCCUGAUCCAGCCAUACCGCGUGGGUGAAGAAGGCCUUCGGGUUGUAAAGCCCUUUUGUUGGGAAAGAAAAGCAGCAGGUUAAUACCCCGCUGUUCUGACGGUACCCAAAGAAUAAGCACCGGCUAACUUCGUG